UUUGUACCUGUGACGGCUCUUUCUCCUGGCGGUUACGAGGGUGAUGAUAGUGAUACCACUGUGUUCGCAACCGGUCAUUCCUAUGUGGUCCCUGCUCGGUUGUCCACGGUCAGAAGCGUAAUGAGACCAAUCCUGUGGGCCUCGUUGUGGCACGGGUCUAGAUUCUUAUGUCUGAAUGUGGCCAUGUCGGAGCAUCUGAGCAUUCUCUCCGAACGAGAGAAGGAAAUGAGUCAGAGCUGUAGCCGGAAAAUGUGCCCCCUCCCACAUAGGAAUACCUGCCAUCUCCUCCGUUCCCCAGAAAAGCAGCGAUUUGUCCAGGGUGCCAGAUCCUAGAGAAGGAAGUCUCUUGACCAGGAUUCACUCCUGAGAACCAGGAGUGUCUUAGGGAGAAGCCAAAAGUUAGAUGAUUCUACCCCAAAGCAGUAAAAAGUCCGUGGCCCCUUGGUUCUGGCCCACAACAAUGAGCCAGCUCUAUGGGAGAGAAGUGAACGGACUGUGCUGGAUGCUGUGGCC